AAAAAAAAAAAAAAAAAAAAAAAAAAAAAAAAAAAAACAAGACAAAAAAAAAAAAGAGAAUUUUUUCUUUUCCUCUCUCCCCCCCUCUCCUCUCUUUUCCUCUCUUUUUCCCUCAACUUUUCUC
rnacentral:ribozyme from 13 species